rnacentral:rRNA from 1 species
AUGGGCCGACUGCGCUUGGUCCACCUCCAGUUCAUCAUCGACAGAAUCAAGACAAGGCUCGUGGGUUGGAAGGGCAAGCUGCUACCGAUGGCCGGCCGCCGCGUCCUCGUCAGGUGCGUGCUAAGUGCCAUGCCAACCUUCGCCCUCACCGUCCUUCGUGUCCCGAAGAAGAUCCUCAAGGAGAUCGACAAGUGCAGGCGGUGUUUCCUAUGGCGCCAGGAUGAUGAGAUUUCGGGCGCCAACUGCAAGGUCAACCGGCCAGCGGUCUGCUCCCGUACGGAGCAGGGGGGCUGGGCAUCCCUGACUUGUAGCGUUUCGGCAGGGCGCUGCGGCUGCGCUGGCUCUGGACCACAUGGCACCACCCGGAGUGGCCUUGGGUGGGCACCGAGCUGCCUUGCGACGGCGCGGACAAGGCGAUGUUCGCGACCUCCACCAGCGUGGCGAUCGGUGACGGGGCUCGGGCCUCUUUCUGGCUCUCUCCUUGGAUCGGCCAGGACUGCCUCUCGUAACAAUUCCCAAGGCUGUUCAGCUACUCGCGGCGCAAGAACAGAUCAGUGCGGGAGGCCCUCAGAGAAGACGUGUGGAUCCGCGAUCUCGGGCAUGGAAAUAACCUUCAUCUUUUGUCGGACGUCCUCGCCCUUCACCGCCUGCUUCAGGGGACGGGCGCGCAACUGCAGCCAGAUGUGCCAGAGGACCUGA